ACAAUAACAUUCGGACCGUCGGUCUACCGAGUAAUAUUUAACCAGCUCGGUGGAAGAUCUUUCCUUUCGUCGUAAACC
rnacentral:pre_miRNA from 1 species